AUUGAACGCUAGCGGGAUGCCUUACACAUGCAAGUCGAACGGAGUGGCGAACGGGUGAGUAAUGUAUCGGAACGUGCCCAGUAGCGGGGGAUAACUACGCGAAAGCGUAGCUAAUACCGCAUACUCUUCGAGCGGUCGAGACCGGAUUGGCUAGUUGGUGGGGUAACGGCCCACCAAGGCGACGAUCCGUAGCUGGUUUGAGAGGAUGACCAGCCACACUGGAGCUGAGACACGGCCCAGACGCCUACGGGAGGCAGCAGUGGGGAAUUUUGGACAAUGGGGGAAACCCUGAUCCAGCCAUCCCGCGUGUGCGAUGAAGGCCUUCGGGUUGUAAAGCACUUUUGGCGGGAAAGCGGUACCUGCAGAAGAAGCACCGGCUAACUACGUGCCAGCAGCCGCGGUAAUUC
rnacentral:rRNA from 1 species